AGAGCGAAUGGUGGAUGCCUUGACUGGUAAAGGCGAUGAAGGACGUACUAGACUGCGAUAAGCUACGGGGAGCUGUCAAGAAGCUUUGAUCCGUAGAUUUCCGAAUGGGGCAACCCAAUGUAUAGAGAUAUACAUUACCUAUAUAGGAGCGAACGAGGGGAAUUGAAACAUCUUAGUACCCUCAGGAAAAGAAAUCAAUAGAGAUUGCGUCAGUAGCGGCGAGCGAAAGCGUAAGAGGGCAAACCCAGUGCUUGCACUGGGGGUUGUAGGACUGCAAUGUGCAAGAGGUGAGUUUAGCAGAACAUUCUGGAAAGUAUAGCCAUAGAGGGUGAUAGUCCCGUAUGCGAAAAACAAACCUUAGCUAGCAGUAUCCUGAGUAGGGCGGGACACGAGAAAUCCUGUCUGAAGCUGGGUCGACCACGAUCCAACCCUAAAUACUAAUACCAGAUCGAUAGUGCACAAGUACCGUGAGGGAAAGGUGAAAAGAACUGAGGUGAUCAGAGUGAAAUAGAACCUGAAACCAUUUGCUUACAAUCAUUCAGAGCACUAUGUAGCAAUACAGUGUGAUGGACUGCCUUUUGCAUAAUGAGCCUGCGAGUUGUGGUGUCUGGCAAGGUUAAGCAAACGUGAAGCCGUAGCGAAAGCGAGUCUGAAUAGGGCGCUUAGUCAGAUGCUGCAGACCCGAAACGAAGUGAUCUAUCCAUGAGCAAGUUGAAGCUAGUGUAAGAACUAGUGGAGGACUGAACCCAUAGGCGUUGAAAAGCCCCGGGAUGACUUGUGGAUAGGGGUGAAAGGCCAAUCAAACUUCGUGAUAGCUGGUUCUCUCCGAAAUAUAUUUAGGUAUAGCGUUGUGUCGUAAUAUAAGGGGGUAGAGCACUGAAUGGGCUAGGGCAUACACCAAUGUACCAAACCCUAUCAAACUCCGAAUACCUUAUAUGUAAUCACAGCAGUCAGGCGGCGAGUGAUAAAAUCCGUCGUCAAGAGGGAAACAACCCAGACUACCAGCUAAGGUCCCUAAAUCUUACUUAAGUGGAAAACGAUGUGAAGUUACUUAAACAACCAGGAGGUUGGCUUAGAAGCAGCCAUCCUUUAAAGAAAGCGUAAUAGCUCACUGGUCUAGUGAUUUUGCGCGGAAAAUAUAACGGGGCUAAAGUAAGUACCGAAGCUGUAGACUUGAUUUUAUCAAGUGGUAGGAGAGCGUUCUAUUUGCGUCGAAGGUAUACCGGUAAGGAGUGCUGGAGCGAAUAGAAGUGAGCAUGCAGGCAUGAGUAGCGAUAAUUAAUGUGAGAAUCAUUAACGCCGUAAACCCAAGGUUUCCUACGCGAUGCUCGUCAUCGUAGGGUUAGUCGGGUCCUAAGUCGAGUCCGAAAGGGGUAGACGAUGGCAAAUUGGUUAAUAUUCCAAUACCAACAUUAGUGUGCGAUGGAAGGACGCUUAGGGCUAAGGGGGCUAGCGGAUGGAAGUGCUAGUCUAAGGUCGUAGGAGGUUAUACAGGCAAAUCCGUAUAACAAUACUCCGAGAACUGAAAGGCUUUUUGAAGUCUUCGGAUGGAUAGAAGAACCCCUGAUGCCGUCGAGCCAAGAAAAGUUUCUAAGUUUAGCUAAUGUUGCCCGUACCGUAAACCGACACAGGUGGGUGGGAUGAGUAUUCUAAGGCGCGUGGAAGAACUCUCUUUAAGGAACUCUGCAAAAUAGCACCGUAUCUUCGGUAUAAGGUGUGGUUCGCUUCGUAUUAGGAUUUACUCCGAAAGCGAAGAAACUUACAACAAAGAGUCCCUCCCGACUGUUUACCAAAAACACAGCACUCUGCUAACUCGUAAGAGGAUGUAUAGGGUGUGACGCCUGCCCGGUGCUCGAAGGUUAAUUGAUGGGGUUAGCAUUAGCGAAGCUCUUGAUCGAAGCCCGAGUAAACGGCGGCCGUAACUAUAACGGUCCUAAGGUAGCGAAAUUCCUUGUCGGUUAAAUACCGACCUGCAUGAAUGGCGUAACGAGAUGGGAGCUGUCUCAAAGAGGGAUCCAGUGAAAUUGUAGUGGAGGUGAAAAUUCCUCCUACCCGCGGCAAGACGGAGAGACCCCGUGGACCUUUACUACAGCUUGACACUGCUAUUUGGAUAAGAAUGUGCAGGAUAGGUGGGAGGCUUUGAGUAUAUGACGCCAGUUGUAUAUGAGCCAUUGUUGAGAUACCACUCUUUCUUAUUUGGGUAGCUAACCAGCUUGAGUUAUCCUCAAGUGGGACAAUGUCUGGUGGGUAGUUUGACUGGGGCGGUCGCCUCCCAAAUAAUAACGGAGGCUUACAAAGGUUGGCUCAGAACGGUUGGAAAUCGUUCGUAGAGUAUAAAGGUAUAAGCCAGCUUAACUGCAAGACAUACAAGUCAAGCAGAGACGAAAGUCGGUCUUAGUGAUCCGGUGGUUCUGUGUGGAAGGGCCAUCGCUCAAAGGAUAAAAGGUACCCCGGGGAUAACAGGCUGAUCUCCCCCAAGAGCUCACAUCGACGGGGAGGUUUGGCACCUCGAUGUCGGCUCAUCGCAUCCUGGGGCUGGAGCAGGUCCCAAGGGUAUGGCUGUUCGCCAUUUAAAGCGGUACGCGAGCUGGGUUCAGAACGUCGUGAGACAGUUCGGUCCCUAUCUGCCGUGGGCGUAAGAAGAUUGAAGAGAUUUGACCCUAGUACGAGAGGACCGGGUUGAACAAACCACUGGUGUAGCUGUUGUUCUGCCAAGAGCAUCGCAGCGUAGCUAAGUUUGGAAAGGAUAAACGCUGAAAGCAUCUAAGCGUGAAGCCAACUCUAAGAUGAAUCUUCUCUAAGCUCUCUAGAAGACUACUAGUUUGAUAGGCUGGGUGUGUAAUGGAUGAAAGUCCUUUAGCUGACCAGUACUAAUAGAGCGUUUGGCUUAUCU
rnacentral:rRNA from 1 species